rnacentral:lncRNA from 1 species
GGAGAGCAUAACUGAUUGAUAGCGAUGUCUGUAACCGCCUGGUAGUGGGCCAUUCGGAGCCACGCGGAGUUUGUUACGGAGAGUAGUGGUGUCAGGGGACUGUUCAGAGCCGCGUAGAGUUUGUUAUGGAGAGUGGAGUGGUGUCUGUUGUCGCGACUUGCCAGAGAGUGGUGGGGCCACGUAGAAUCUGCUACAGAGAGUGGAGUGGUGUCCGUUGUCGUGAC